rnacentral:rRNA from 1 species
AGGAUGCGAGCGUUAUCCGGAUUUAUUGGGUUUAAAGGGUGCGUAGGCGGUUUGUUAAGUCAGCGGUGAAAUCUAGAGGCUCAACCUCGAAACUGCCGUUGAAACUGGCGAACUUGAGUGUAGAUGAGGUAGGCGGAAUUCGUGGUGUAGCGGUGAAAUGCAUAGAUAUCACGAGGAACUCCGAUUGCGAAGGCAGCUUACUAAGGUACAACUGACGCUGAAGCACGAAAGCGUGGGUAUCAAACAGGAUUAGAUACCCUGGUAGUCCACGCAGUAAACGAUGAUAACUGGGCGUAUGCGAUAUACAGUAUGCUCCUAAGCGAAAGCGUUAAGUUAUCCACCUGGGGAGUACGCCGGCAACGGUGAAACUCAAAGGAAUUGACGGGGGCCCGCACAAGCGGAGGAACAUGUGGUUUAAUUCGAUGAUACGCGAGGAACCUUACCCGGGAUUGAAAUGUAGAUGACCGCCGGUGAAAGUCGGCUUCCCUUCGGGGCAUCUAUGUAGGUGCUGCAUGGUUGUCGUCAGCUCGUGCCGUGAGGUGUCGGCUUAAGUGCCAUAACGAGCGCAACCCCUGUCUACGGUUGCCAUCAGGUAAUGCUGGGAACUCCGUAGAGACUGCCGUCGUAAGGCGUGAGGAAGGUGGGGAUGACGUCAAAUCAGCACGGCCCUUACAUCCGGGGCGACACACGUGUUACAAUGGUAUGGACAGAGGGCAGCCACUUGGCGACAAGGAGCAAAUCCCUAAACCGUAUCACAGUUCGGAUUGGAGUCUGCAACUCGACUCCAUGAAGCUGGAUUCGCUAGUAAUCGCGCAUCAGCCAUGGCGCGGUGAAUACGUUCCCGGGCCUUGUACACACCGCCCGUCAAGCCAUGGGAGUCUGGAGUACCUAAAGUCCGUAACCGCAAGGGUCGGCCUAGGGUAAUACAGGUGACUGGGGCUAAGUCGUAACAAGGUAGCCGUACCGGAAGGUGCGGCUG